UACAAACAAACAGUUUCACACGCAUCCUAAAAUAAAUCGCUUCAGGCUUUGAACGCCAAUCGAAGUUGGAGUAAGAUUUGCAUCUUCUGUGUGAGCAUUCUGAGGAAGAUUGCUUUAGACUUGCAUUGAAAUCUGACAUUUCCAAGGUUCAACUAGCUAAGCAGACUAUUCACAACGGACUUGUUGACAAGAAUGAUGAACUACCUCUGUCAUCUAAUCUGGGAAGACUUUGAUCUUUAAAGUUACAACAAAGUGUAUUUGAAGCUGCAGCCAAAUGGGGAACUAAAGCAAGAAAUUUUCUAAACACAAAUAUUUUCCGUUUGGUACCCGACCGAUCCGUUGUCUCCUUGUUGCUGUUGUUUGAGAAAGACGCCAAGAAGUUCAUCCUG
rnacentral:misc_RNA from 1 species